GAUGAAGAACGUAGCGAAAUGCGAUACGUAAUGUGAAUUGCAGAUUUCAGUGAAUCAUCGAAUCUUUGAACGCACAUUGCGCCCGCCAGUAUUCUGGCGGGCAUGCCUGUUCGAGCGUCAUUUCAACCAUCAAGCGCCUGCGCUUGUGUUGGAGCCCGCGGCUGCCGCAGGCUCUCAAACCCAGUGGCGGGCUCGUCGUCGUACCGAGUGCAGUAAAUUUACCACGCUCAGGGCACGCGACGGGUGACCGGCCGUAAAACCCCCAUCUUCUCAAGGUUGACCUCGGAUCAGGUAGGAAUACCCGCUGAACUUAAGCAUAUCAAUAAGCGGAGGA
rnacentral:misc_RNA from 1 species